ACGGGAAGGAGGGGGACUUGUGUGUGCAGGAUCAGCAGGAGAAAAGUUUUUCUUUCUACGCACCAGAAACAUCAGAGAAGCAACGCUGUAUCUGCAAAGCAAAACACCUAAAAGAAUCCAAUUACUGCAAAGAAAAAGAACAAAAAUAAAAGAAGCACACUUGAUGCGCAAGAGAAAGAAAAAAUACAAAUCACCCAAGCAAUGGAAGUGAACAAUAAAGGCAUUUUGACCAAGAUUGAAUCCUCAGAUCCAAACCCUGGAUCAGCUCAGAGUAGCCCCAAAGCCUUGCUCAUCAGUUCAUCUCAUUAGUGGGAGCAGCAGCUGGGCAGGCAGUCCUCAUGGCCUCAGCACCAUGGAGAGGAAGUGAAAUGAGCUGACACCCUGUACAUUUAAUCCAUCUGGGCUGGCAUUCAAAGUGACCAGCAAUGGAAUCGUGAAAGGCUCCACACCCUGGAGAGAGAAGUGAAGAUUGCGGAGGACCAGCAAAAUCAGCUCCUACCUGGAGUAAUGAAUUAUGGAAAAAUGCAGGUUCAAUUGCAACGUUUAAGAGAAAUAGAGGGUGGCUCCUUGCCUCCGAGCCUGUUUCAACAGAGAACACCCCUGUUCAAGCCCCAAUCAGAUCUGUGGGAAGUGCCUCUUCAUGACCAGGAUCCCUGUGGUGAACUACAUAUACCUGUCUGGACAUGCUCCCCCACUGACUGCUCCUGUGGCUCCUCCCACAGACUGCGGUAUAAAGGCGAUUGGAGCCACUGCCCCUUCCUCAGUCUCCAGGAUGUUGUGUGGUGGUCGCUUGCUGCUUGUGCUUUUUUCCAGCCAAUAAAAGUCUACCUUAA